CCCAGGCUUAAGAGGUGAUAAAGUGCAGCUGGGUAAAGAGCCAGUGUGAGAAAUAGGCAGGAAGCUCAGAACAGUAAGGGAAGUUUUGCAGUUUGGGACAGCUGGAUCCCAGAAGAGAUGGACUAAAGAUGGUGACCCAGCUUGAAAGACUGAAUUACCAGGCAAAGAAAUUGCCACUGUGCUGGAUCAACUAUCUGUGAGAGAUCUGCGAUGCCAAGCCUGGCCACAAUGGGGCACCUAGUGGUUGUCAGUGUACAGGAGGACUGCUGAAUCCACGUAGAACCCCAUUGGCUUAAAUGAAUCUCUGCAGGCACAGCAACCCAUCCACGGACUGACAUGUUCAGUAUUGGGUCCUUAAACUCUAAUAAAAGACCCACUUUAAAUAAAUAAAUCCAUGGAUUAGAGGCAGGAGGUGCUCUGUAUAUCCUCAGCUUCAGUUGAUUCCGGUGAGAGCUCAGGGCACCUCACAGGAUCUGGCACUUUACAAAUGUAGAAAAAAAGAUUGAAUGGAUGCUCAUGCUUCUCAAAAGCAGUUGUUUUUGCAUGGAUAAGAGUCACCAGCAAGCUUGUACUUUAAAAUAGUGGACAUAAAGCCUAUUUUUGACCAGCACUAAUCAGAAGAGAAGUUCGCAAUAGAAACAUUUGAUUCAAACUGACUCAAACUCUUGGGAAAUCAGAAUCAUGUUCAUACAGCAAUGUUGCCAUUUCCACUGAUGCAAAUCUUGGGUAUGCCGUAUACCAACAUCAAAGGGGGCAAGGAUCUCCAAUAAAAGCAUUUAAGCCACAUACAAAAAACACCAUAUAGCUGCAUGGUGGGAACAAAAGCUCAAAACCGUUGGAUGUGAUUAGUUGUAACCCUUCAGAGCUCAUAAGAUAUGAAUAGUGUGGUUCUUCAAUGGGAAUCUGGGUGUCCAGGACCCAAAUAACAUGUAGUUGAGGCUCUGAUUUUAAAAGAGAAUACAAGCUGGCAGCCUUCCCAGCACAACAUUCCUGGACUGAUUGACAAUUGUCAUAUGUGUUUGAAAGUCCUACCACUGUGA